rnacentral:rRNA from 1 species
AUUGAACGCUGGCGGCAGGCCUAACACAUGCAAGUCGAACGAGUGGCGGACGGGUGAGUAAUGUCUGGGAAACUGCCUGAUGGAGGGGGAUAACUCCUGGAAACGGUAGCUAAUACCGCAUACCAUCCGAUGUGCCCAGAUGGGAUUAGCUAGUUGGUGGGGUAACGGCUCACCAAGGCGACGAUCCCUAGCUGGUCUGAGAGGAUGACACGAGACUCUGGAACUGAGACACGGUCCAGACUCUUGCGGGAGGGAGCAGAGGGGAAUCUUGCGAAAUGGGGGAAAGCAUGACGGAGCCAGGGUGGGUGAAUGAUGAAGGUCUGAGGAUGGUAAAAGUCUUUAACCGGGGACGGUACCCGGAGAAGAAGCCCCGGCUAACUUCGUGCCAGCAGCCGCGGUAAUAC